UUCACAGACUCUGGGAGUUGCAACACCCCGUUGUUGGCAGCUAGCAUAACUGACUCCAUCUUGGGCCUGUUCGGUUCCUCCUGUCCUUCCAUUGACCCUACCCGGGACCGUACCGCAUGGUAAAUCACUUCUGUGCUGUCAAGGGCUUUGUAGUUAAUAGAUAUCAUCUAAUGAUCAUUAGGUUCCAGGUGGCCUCUCUGCUCUGCUACUCUCCAGUGAUAAAGGCUUUCAUGAUGUAGUCUCUGCACCCAUAAGACUAAUUACCCAUCAUAAAUCUUGACUUAGGAAUGCACUGCCUGACUCCCUGUCCCCCAAACCCUAGGUUAACUAUAAAACUGUCCCAGCAGCCCCUCUGCAGUGUUGAGUGCAGCUGCUAAUGCUUCUGGAUCGCCCCCUGCCCCAUCCUACCCUCUCUCUUCUCAUCACCAUUCUAUGGCUAAGGAGACAGGAGGCUCAGAGUUACAGUCACUGGAUAAGGUCAUACAGUUGGAAAAACCAAAGCUUGCAUUCACCUCUGCCCACCAGACACUUACAUCGUAUCCACUGUUACGUAUCCCACGCCGGGGUCGCUCCCGAGUUACCAGAAGGUCCAUCUCUGUUUCCCCUGGACUCGGGC